GUCGAGCGAACAGACGAGGAGCUUGCUCCUCUGACGUUAGCGGCGGACGGGUGAGUAACACGUGGAUAACCUACCUAUAAGACUGGGAUAACUUCGGGAAACCGGAGCUAAUACCGGAUAAUAUAUUGAACCGCAUGGUUCAAUAGUGAAAGACGGUUUUGCUGUCACUUAUAGAUGGAUCCGCGCCGCAUUAGCUAGUUGGUAAGGUAACGGCUUACCAAGGCAACGAUGCGUAGCCGACCUGAGAGGGUGAUCGGCCACACUGGAACUGAGACACGGUCCAGACUCCUACGGGAGGCAGCAGUAGGGAAUCUUCCGCAAUGGGCGAAAGCCUGACGGAGCAACGCCGCGUGAGUGAUGAAGGUCUUCGGAUCGUAAAACUCUGUUAUUAGGGAAGAACAAAUGUGUAAGUAACUAUGCACGUCUUGACGGUACCUAAUCAGAAAGCCACGGCUAACUACGUGCCAGCAGCCGCGGUAAUACGUAGGUGGCAAGCGUUAUCCGGAAUUAUUGGGCGUAAAGCGCGCGUAGGCGGUUUUUUAAGUCUGAUGUGAAAGCCCACGGCUCAACCGUGGAGGGUCAUUGGAAACUGGAAAACUUGAGUGCAGAAGAGGAAAGUGGAAUUCCAUGUGUAGCGGUGAAAUGCGCAGAGAUAUGGAGGAACACCAGUGGCGAAGGCGACUUUCUGGUCU
rnacentral:rRNA from 1 species